GAUGAAGAACGCAGCGAAAUGCGAUAAGUAAUGUGAAUUGCAGAAUUCAGUGAAUCAUCGAAUCUUUGAACGCACCUUGCGCCCUUUGGACAUUCCGAAGGGCAUGCCUGUUUGAGUAUCAUGAACACCUCAACUCUCACGGCUUGUCCGUGAUGAGCUUGGACUUUGGGGGUCUUGCCGGCCUGUGGUCGGCUCCUCUCAAAUGGAUCAGCUUGCCAGUGUUUGGUUGCAUCACAGGUGUGAUAACUAUCUGCGCUUGUGGUUUUCCAUCAGAUAACCUUCAGUGAUAUGGAGGUUCGCUGGAGCUCACAAAUGUCUCUCCUUUGUGAGGACAGCUCUUUGAACGUUUGAUCUCAAAUCAGGUAGGACUACCCGCUGAACUUAAGCAUAUCAAUAAGCGGGGA
rnacentral:misc_RNA from 1 species